rnacentral:rRNA from 1 species
UACGAAGGGGGGCUAGCGUUGUUCGGAAUUACUGGGCGUAAAGGGCGCGUAGGCGGUGUGUCAAGUCAGGCGUGAAAGCCCCGGGCUCAACCUGGGAACAGCGCUUGAGACUGGCACGCUCGAGUUCGGGAGAGGAUGGUGGAAUUCCCAGUGUAGAGGUGAAAUGCGUAGAUAUUGGGAGGAACACCAGUGGCGAAGGCGGCUCGCUGGACCGGUUCUGACGCUGAGGCGCGAAAGCGUGGGUAGCAAACAGG